CAUGGUUUAUGUCGGUUAAAAGAAACUCCCACUAGAAAGAGUAAAGAUACAACUCUCAGAACUAAGUGUUAUGACUCAUAAAGAAUUUCUAUGUUCUACAUAUUCAUGUUUUAUUCUUUUAUAGUAUAUGUUUUAUUCGAGCUGAGGUGAGUCAUUACAUUUAGCGUGCAUCUUUUGAAACAACAACAACAACAAACCCAGUAUAUCCUUUGCAUCCUUUGAAAGAUUUGCUUAAAUAUUGUAUUAUUGUCUUACUUGUGCAUCAUCCC
rnacentral:lncRNA from 1 species